UACAAUGGAGAGUUUGAUCCUGGCUCAGGAUGAACGCUAGCGGGAGGCCUAACACAUGCAAGCCGAGCGGUAGAUUACUUUCGGGUAAUUGAGAGCGGCGUACGGGUGCGGAACACGUGUGCAACCUGCCUUUAUCAGGGGGAUAGCCUUUCGAAAGGAAGAUUAAUACCCCAUAAUAUAUUAUUCGGCAUCGGGUGAUAUUGAAAACUACGGUGGAUAGAGAUGGGCACGCGCAAGAUUAGCUAGUUGGUGAGGUAAC
rnacentral:rRNA from 1 species